UACGUAGGGUGCAAGCGUUAAUCGGAAUUACUGGGCGUAAAGCGUGCGCAGGCGGUGAUGUAAGACAGGUGUGAAAUCCCCGGGCUUAACCUGGGAACUGCAUUUGUGACUGCAUCGCUGGAGUGCGGCAGAGGGGGAUGGAAUUCCGCGUGUAGCAGUGAAAUGCGUAGAUAUGCGGAGGAACACCGAUGGCGAAGGCGAUCCCCUGGGCCUGCACUGACGCUCAUGCACGAAAGCGUGGGGAGCAAACAGG
rnacentral:rRNA from 1 species